ACGUUGAAGAACAAUAAGGACCACCCACAUCCCUAUGCUGUUAACCCACGAAGUCUACAGAAUGCAGCUUGCCGAUCCUAACGACAAUCCCAACGACAAGAAAGCACGCACCAAGUCUAUUAAGAUGGCUCCCUUCCCACUCUUCAGAGCUCCUGGCUAAUGAUUUUGUCCUUCUUUCACUUAUAUAACUUCAAGAGCUGGACACUGAAUGUUUCUGCCUCAUCAUGCUGAUUUUCAGGCAAACCCCUAUCGUUCUGUGAUAGCUAUUCUGUACCCUAAUCACUCUGAGAUCGGCUUUCAUCUCAGGGUGUGGUUUGUGGUAGAAAACAACAAGAAUAAUUAUUGCCUAUGCAAAUUCUUGAUACUAUAGCUUUGUUCUUUAGGGUUUGCUCAGGGAAAGUUUAAGAAAGCGCCUGCGGAAAUCUCAGCUGAAUGAGGAUUUCAAGGUCUAUGCACUGGGACUCACUCACUUAGCGCCCUGUAGAGGGCGCCUGAAAUUACAGGCAAGCUUCUUCCGCAUAGGACCCCCUUACAACCUCACAUCUCUUUCUUUCAUUUUAUGGCCUGUUAGGAAGCAAUUGGAAGCGUUGAGUGGGGGAAGCUCAUCUUAGUAGUGAGUCAAGUGUUUAAUCAGACAUUGUUCCGUGGUGGUGGUAACUCGAUGAAAGAAAUAGCAGCCCGUUUUUAAGUACUAUAAUUGCUUUAACACUUUUUUUCAGCAGAUGACGUGAUUUCUUAUUGCUGGCCCCCAAGUCUCUUAACUCUCACCUUGUUGAUAAACUCUUAAUUCAGUGCUAGAGUUAAUGUCACAAGAGGUAUUAGGUGGCUACUUCAGUAAUGAAAUGGAUCUUUGAACGGGAAAAUAACAUAUGCCAACCCCAUAUAUGUUAUUUUAUUUUAUAUCUUAUUUAUUUAUUUAUUUAUUAAUUUAUUAUGUAUGUGAAUAGAUUGUCGCUCUCUUCAGACACACCAGAAGGCGGCGCUGGAUCCCAUUACAGAUGGUUGUGAGACACCAUGUGGUUCCUGGGAAUUGAACACGGGAGCUCUGGAAGAGCAAAAUCCGUGCUUAAGGACCUUGAUGGGCACCCAAAGGAGUUAUCUCAUCAGUUUCUUAAGUAUUCUGGUUUAUAUUAUUCUUCCUGUAUUAAAGGUCACCAGGAAAAACCAGAACUAAAACAGUAAA